AUCUAUACAGAUGAAGAAGCAUACUGGAGGCUCUGCGGUACCCAGCGAUGGGUGCUGCGGGGCGACGCUAAUACGGCAUACUUCCAGGCGAUCGCGAAUGGGCGGCGACGUUGGAACUCCAUCCACUGUUUGUGGGAUGGUGAUUCCCAGCUCGUCCGCCCCUCGGACAUCCGGGCACAUGUAGAUGGCUUCUACAAAGCCCUUUUCUCCCCCGCCCUUCGGGGUGGGGUCGCUCUGGCAACCGACAUCUGGUCGGGCACCCACCUUGUGUCUGAUGCGGACAAUGCCGCCUUAGUUGCCCCGUUCUCCGAGGAGGAGGUCCUCGCGGCGAUUAAGGGCAUGAACGCCUCCUCGGCGCCGGGGCCGGAUGGACUGCCAGUGUCCCUUUUUAAAGCAUUUUGGCAGACCAUCAAACUUGAGGUCAUGGCUCUCUUCGACGAGUUUUUCUUGGGGACCAUGGAUCUUGGGCGCCUGAACUAUGGGGUCGUCACUCUUAUCCCCAAAGUUCCGGGCGCGACGGACAUCCGCCAAUUCCGACCUAUCACCGUG
rnacentral:rRNA from 1 species